GAGGGUAUAGCUCAAGUGGUAGAACACAUGCUUAGCGUGCAUGAGGUCCCGGGUUCAAUCCCCAGUACCUCCU
rnacentral:tRNA from 1 species